CCAGGCAUGAUUAUCCGGCAUCCUGUCUGGAAGAAAAGCAGGACCCUUACCAAGACGGGAAGCACAAAUCGAAGGACAGGAAUGGACUGGCAUCCCACCCAGGAUGGGGUCUUCCCCAGGUGAGAUGUUCCUUUUACAUUUCCCUGAAGAUGUGUCCAGGAAGCAUUAUAUUUACAUCGAACAACCUUAACUGGCUCCUCUCGAUAAAUACGCCCCAAGCAACUUUCUAUUUAGAAUUGAAACCCUGCUGGUUGCGUAUGUGUAAGCCACCCUGAAUGGCCAACGGCUAUGCUGAGCUUAAGCACACCGGCACUCUGAACCUUAAACUGCCUGCGCUGGAUAGGCUGCGAGGACCCCGGCGUGUAAAACUGAACAAGUGUGGAGGAGCCUGUACUGGCCAUUAUACCGGCUCCACAUGUGCCCAGACACACCACACCUUACAGCGCACCCACUAGAUGGAC